AGAGUUUGAUCAUGGCUCAGGACGAACGCUGGCGGCGUGCCUAACACAUGCAAGUCGAACGGAAUCCAAGGAGUGCUUGCACUCCUGAAGAUUGAGUGGCGAACGGGUGAGUAACACGUGAGAAACCUGCCCCGGACUCUGGGAUAACCCAAGGAAACUUGAGCUAAUACCGGAUACCCUCUGAUGGUCGCAUGGCCGUUUGAGGAAAGUUUUUCGGUCUGGGAGGGUCUCGCGGCCUAUCAGCUAGUUGGUGAGGUAACGGCUCACCAAGGCGACGACGGGUAGCUGGUUUGAGAGAACGAUCAGCCACACUGGAACUGAGACACGGUCCAGACUCCUACGGGAGGCAGCAGUGGGGAAUCUUGCGCAAUGGGCGAAAGCCUGACGCAGCAACGCCGCGUGCGGGAUGAAGGCCCUCGGGUUGUAAACCGCUUUCAGCAGGGACGAAAAUGACGGUACCUGCAGAAGAAGCCCCGGCUAACUACGUGCCAGCAGCCGCGGUAAUACGUAGGGGGCAAGCGUUGCCCGGAUUUAUUGGGCGUAAAGAGCUCGUAGGCGGUUCCGUAAGUCGAGUGUGAAAAAUCUGGGCUCAACCCAGUGGAGCACUCGAUACUGCGGUGACUGGAGUACGGUAGAGGAGUGUGGAAUUCCUGGUGUAGCGGUGAAAUGCGCAGAUAUCAGGAGGAACACCAACGGCGAAGGCAGCACUCUGGGCCGGUACUGACGCUGAGGAGCGAAAGCGUGGGGAGCAAACAGGAUUAGAUACCCCAGUAGUCC
rnacentral:rRNA from 1 species